rnacentral:tRNA from 1 species
UUUUUAUUAGUAUAUUACAUUACAAUUACCUUCCAAGUAAGAAAUUUCCAGGGAAAUGCUAUA